AGAAACAGGCAGAUGAGCAACCAUGGAUCCAGAUCCUUUGGAGUCACUUCCUGGCAGAUGCCACAUCUAAGGACAUCCCAUGCCCUGCCAAGGGCUGUUUGGAUAUUCCAGCAGACUCUGGAUCAGGGGAAGCAGCUCAGCUUGGAAACAGAAUUGUCCACAGAUAGAUAGAAAUAGAACCUGUGAGCUGAAAACUAUGACUGAUGCUCUGUUCCCUGGCCUGGCCCAGGGCUUCCUUCUGAUGAAGUCAGCACUGCUGUGAACAGCGAGGAUUGCCAGAGAUGCCUGCUCAGGUCUCAGAAAUAAGAACAGACGCCUGUCCAUUGACAGUUGUGUUCACUAGGGCUCUCUGUAUGCAGAUUUCUGCGGGGGAGGUGACAGAGAAUAAAAGACAUGGCACUUGAAACCAGCCGUCAAUUUCUGAACGUUGGGAAGGAGUGAGGACCAGUACUUCCCAGGAUCCAGUGCUGUCACCUGCUGAGCCCAAGUGGGAGGGUAUGGUGACACUGCUGUCAGGAGGGAUCAAGGCUCCCAAAGUCCAAAAUGCAGAAGAUAGCCACCAAGGAUUUGCUGAACAUGAGCCCAGGAAAGGCGGAACCAAGUUCGUGUUCCCGACACCCAGCGAGGCUGAGCAAACUGAGAAGUUGGAGUUUGGAGCAGAGAAAGGUUGGUUGUAGCGCCCAGCAAGGAAAACAGACAAGUUAUACUCGAAAAGACACCGACUCCCUGAUGGUUUUCAAGCAAGAGUUUUUAAAGUAACUGUUGGAAUCUGUCUGCCCUUUGGAACUCAGGGAAGGUCUAGGAGACGGAAAGUUUUUUCCUACACAUCACAAAGGACCCAGAAAGGCUUUCGUACCAGGACCAUCCUCUCGUUGCUACAAACCUUCGGCGUCUCAGCGUUUUGGCUCCUGUACGUCAGGCAAGAACCUGGUUUGGAUGCAAAUUUGGGGAACCAGCCAGGAGGAUAAACCUGUGCAAAGAAGAUAGAAGAUUUUGCCCAAACAGGAAAAGAAGAUUUUGCCCAAACAGGAAAGGAAGAUGAGAGAAACCUGUUUUGCUUGAUUCACAUGCAAAGGAGUCAUUGCUCUUGUGUUGCCAGUGCUGUGAGGUCAGCCAACACUCUGCCUUCUUCUCUACCCUGGAAGAUGGUAUUGCUGCUCUUUCCCUGCCAGGGUAUGAGCCACAGCCUCAGGCUCUGGUGCCCCCUGGUCUCUGAGGGUCAAGAAAGAAAUAGAAGGGGUCUCCCCCCUCCUCAUUAACCUGCUGGGGUACUGACUUGGCCAGGGAGCCACCACUCAGGUGGGGCAACAUCGCUUAAGCCAAGUUCCCCCUGGGGAUGUGAAUGCUGAGACUGGGCAAAGGUGAUGGGAUGGAUCUGGGUCCACUCCCUGUUUCCAGGUUCAGAUUUAAUUGGAAGAACCAUAUGCCAACUUAAAAGACCCCAAGAGAAUGGAGAUCUUCCUUCACCGAUCUGUGCAAACCAACACGGGCAGCUGUUCAAAGCUUACUACAUACCCUGCUCACUUCAGAUGGACACAGAAUGUUGGAUAAGCCUGGGGAAGGAGGCAUGUCUGCCCCAUACAAAACCCCCUGGCCACCCAGGACAGGCCACAGCAAACAUAGCCGUACCUUCAGUGGAUCCCAGUUGGAUGUGAAUGCUGGGGAGAGACCCGAACUUGACUGACACAGAGAAUGCAUUUUUGCAGGACUGCAAAGAGGGUGCAAGAUGAGCCUCCGUAAAGUAUAGAAGAAUUAACUACUUCCGUUUGUAGGUGAUGAAAUGUGUAAAGAAGCCACUUCACAUGCUGGCACUGCUAUGAACCUGGUCUUUCCCUUCAGCUCAGUUACUUGUGAUUCCUGGCGACAGUCCACGUCUGGGAAGUGGUCUGAAGACCAUCUUCAUGCUUUCUAGUUAAGAUCUACAACCAGGCUCUAUGUCCUCCAGGAAGGCUACACAGCGUGGAUCUAAACAUUAUGUAUUAAACUAAGGGGCAUCCUUCCAAGCUGCUCUCGUGAAGCUGGUUUCCUGCAAGCGAUGGUUUAUGACCAGUCAUAACUGUUUUUGGUACCUUUGCCUUUGGGGCCUUCAACAGUGUUUGCACUGAUGCAUAUCCAUCCGUGAGGGAUUUGGAGUUCCUGGUGGCUCAGUGGGUUAAGGACCCAGCAUUGUCACUUGCUGUGGCUCUGGUUACUGCUGUGGCAUGCGUUCAGUCAAAAGCAAACAACACCAAUGAGUGAGUCGUCAUUGUUCCCCUCUGUCCUACUAUCUUCCCCUCUACCUCUGGAUACAGCCCGUCCACAAUCUCCCGGACCUUGUAGACGUCAGAGAACAUCUUGCCAUGGCUGACAGAUGAUCAUGAUGGUGGCUGGAGGGACUGGCUUAGCAGGAACUAGGAGCCCAGAGCAAGUGUGGUGCUGCCAGGGCAGAGCUCCAGGGCAGGUGGGGAGUGGAAGGGAAAAAGCAACUUGGAACUUUUUAUAGAACGAGGCUAGAAGGUGUCCAAGAAAAAGGCAGUUCUCAGCCUUUUAGUAAAUACUUGGGUUCUGAACUCUCACAAAGACUUGCUCCCUGGUGGAAGGGGAAGUGCUAGACCUGGGGAGAUUCCUGGGGAUGGCCAGGUUCUGCUGUACCUGGAUCCCCAACUUCGGAGAGAUAGCCAAACCCCUUUGGGAAGUUUUAGAGGAGACAAUGAACCUCUAGACGAAAGUCUUGGAAGAAUAAACAUUCAGAAAACCAGCUCUAACCUCACAGGCCUUGAGGAACGUGAUGGGGAAGCAAAAACCACACUUGCCACAGAAGGAAACUUGGAACUGAGGUCAUUCAAACCUGAGCUGGUUCCAGACCUCCGACCCUCGACACUAACUUCUCCAAAUGAGCCAGUGAAACACUUGCAUCUUAAGUUGCUUUUCAAAAAGAAGCCUGGACAAAAGUUAAGGUGAGUGGAAUUCAUGCAGUGGUGGCUUGGGUAACUUUCAGAAGGCAAUUUAAACAACCUGUUAGGUGACCAGGAUGAUUGUUCUCUUUAGUUAAUGCCUCCUCGUGGCUUCUAACCUCCCAGGCUUAGAAGGACAAUUCAGUGAUGCGGACCUGUCAGAGUUUGGCCAAAGUAGGUAAUCUUUGUAGCUGUAGCAUGUGUCACCCAAAACCUUAUUUUGUAUUGGAUCAAGCUCACCCCUUGAUUGUGCCUGUCAUUAACUUUUUGACCCUCCCUAAUUUCACUGCAUCUUCAGAUAUCAGUUAAGGCUAAUAACAGAAUUUCCUGUCUCCUGUUUUUUCUUGACUGAAAUUUGGUCAUCUCAAGUCCUAAGAUUUUUUUUUUUUUUAAAGACACUGGAGUUCCCAUUGUGGCUCAACAGGCUAAGAACCCAACACUGUGUCCAUGAGGAUGUGGGUUCAAUCCCAGGUCCCGCUCAGUGGGUUAAGGAUCUGGCAUCACAAGCUGUGGCAUAGGUCUCAGAAGCAGAUGGAAUCCAAUGUUGCUGAGGCACAGGCUGGCAGCUACAGCUCCAUGUCAACCCCUAGCACGGGAACUUCCAUAUGCUGCAGGUGCAGCUGUAAAAAGAAGAAAAAAAGACAGUUAAUGUCUACCCCUAGCAAAGUUCUACUUGGUCAGAAUACUAUAGAAACUGUAUUUAUCUCCCAGGCUACAUUCCUUCCAUAUUUAAUAUUGAACUUCAGAUGUCUGGCAUUCUGUGUGCCUCCUCAGUGUACAUCUUGGCAGUUUUGACUUCCAUUACUGAUUUUGGGCCUGUGAAUGCCUUGAUCACUGGUGUGUAGGUUUUAACUGUUCCCUGAGAUCAAAAUGGGAACUUCAAUCUGGGAACAAAUGAAGAGUCUCAAAUGAGUGCUGAACAGUUCGAUUCCUCAAGUUACGCCCCUUAUCAGCGGGAAGUAGCCAGGAUGGUUGUCAGCCUUAUUCAUCAAGAUUGAGGAAUGAUCCAAAAAUACGGGGAACUGAAACCAUGGAUUAAAUCCAUUGCACCUAGUUAAGGUCCUUUGAAGACCUGCAUGUCCUCCAAGCAGCCCAGAGCCAAACCAGAAGAUGUUUGCCUGAGUCAUUUUUUAGGAACUUGGAGUCAGUUAUGUCUAGUUUGAGCUGAGUUGGUUGAGACCGGGGGGACCACCCACCCUUCAGCCAGGAUGGGGGACGGGCCCCUCUGUGACCUUUUGGUCAUGCAGAGGCCUGUAGCUGAGUUACAUCUACACAGAAUUAUCAUACCUAUUCCCAAUGGCCUUCUCCACGCCCCCCCCCCCCACAACUUCAUGCCUCUGAUGGCCUUGCUGCUUAUUCUUGAUCUCAUAAGUGACCCAAGCCCCUUGCCUUCGGGGAGGCAGAUUUGAGAUUUGCUCUGUCUCCUCAGUUAGCUGCCUUUCAAAUCCUCUUUGCUGCAAGCCUGUUUCUCAGUGUUUUGGCCUGCUGUGCAUCGGACAAAAGCAGCUUGGUUUUGUGUAGGGCCUUCUGCAGAUACCAAACUCGGAGGUAAAAGUGAUGGAGGCUGUCAGCCCCCAUUUUACAGAUGGGGAAACUGAGACUCGAGGUUACAAAGUCUGAACGCAAGCCCAGGUCUCCCUGGCUCUACACCUGUACUGCUAACAUCUUAGUAUUUCUGGGCAUGUCCUGGGUGUUUAAUUUCAAUACUUGUGAACUAAGAUUGAAGCUUCAGUCCACUGCUUCAAGGAAAAUACUUUUCACUGUC
rnacentral:lncRNA from 1 species